CCAUUGCUCAGUUGGUAGAGCACAAGACUCUUAACCUUGUGUUCGUGGGUUCAAGCCCCACGAUGGG
rnacentral:tRNA from 1 species